rnacentral:lncRNA from 1 species
AGGGUAGGAGGGUCCGGGUUGUUUUCGUUGUUCCCGUUGUGGGGUUGGGGCGUUAUGGGAAGCGGGGCGGGCGCUGCGCAGCUAACGAGCAGGUUGCGGUCGGGAAGCAGCUGGAGAAUCUGGAGCAGCACCUCAGCGCAGCCCGGUUCCGUCCGGGCCGACGCCCCUGGGCUCGGCGCUGCUCUGGGAGGACGGGCGGCCCCCGCCAGGCCCCCGCCCCGACUCCGAGCUGGUCUGUGCGGCUGAGCGGCCCCCGCCAGGCCCCCGGCCCCGACUCCGAGCUGGUCGGUGAGGCCGGGACCCUACCUCCACCUGUGGGGACACUGACGAGUUCUGGGAGUGCGGACCCACACCUGUCUCGGGGGACACGACUCACCAACACACCUUCUGAAUGCACCUCCCUGCCUCCUACAGACACACAAAGAUCCUGCCACUCCUGAGGCAGUUUCGGGUCCAGAGCCCACCACCAAGAGAAAAUUCCCGAGGCAUCUCUGCCUUAGGGCGACCUGGAGAGCCUCAGGACCGUCACAUGCACCGCACCCAGAUCGGGCAGGGGCCUAGGGUGUCAGCUCGUCCUGGGUCCUCAGCUCGCCUGCUGUUCCUUCACCACCCUGAGCCCUCCAGAGACUUUCUGUAUUGGAGUAAAACCCGUGUCGUCUUCCAAGGCCUUCCAGCCCCGCUGUGACCCGUGCACCUCAGUCUCCCAUCACUGCUCCUUCUCUCUCAACUCUUAACUUCUUUGCCCUUCGCAUAACCAGCCCAACAUGUCCCUGCUCCUCCCGACAGUGACGUGGCACACACAUGCAGCAUGAGCUUUAUCAGUGCCCAGCCAUUCCUGAACAGAUCCACACCCCUCCUCUCCCACUUCCAGCCUUUUUUUUUUUUUUCUCCUUAGGACUUUUCACUAUGUGACCUCUUCUCUCAUUUAUUCAUUCGUUGUUAUCUAUAUCACCGUGACUAUAGAGAUUAGCUCCAAUGGAAAAUGUCUGUUUUGUUCUGUACCAUAUGCUCAGAGCAUGGAACAUGGCACAUGGUAGGUGCUCUCUCUCUCUCUCUCUCUCUCUCUUUCCUGAGGCAUAAUUUACAUAACAAUUCACUGAUUAAGUGUGCACUUCCAUGAGUUUGAACAAAGGUACAUAAUCAUGUAAUCACUGAUGUGGGAAGCAAAGGCAAAAGAAACAUUAAACUUCCUUACUACUUCCAGACCACUGAGAGGUCCUUGAAACAGGCAGAGUGACCUUCGUCUAGGAGCUCAGCUGCCUCAUGUGGACACUUUGCUCAGGGCAAGCCCAAUCUUUCAGGACCCUGUGAGUCUACCUUAACUUACACAAAUCCCUUUGGAAACUUCCUUUAUCUCUACUCCCCCUGAGAUAGAUGUCAGCGAUCACCCUCCAGACACACAGCCCAGUGACACACAUCUGAAGGGUCUCAUGACAGGCUUUGCUAGACAGCAGUGAAUGGCCUUCUAACAAGAGCUAGUGCCCUUGGGUCCUGGAAACCGUGUUUCCAAAAUACAAUGCCUUGGAGGCUUGUGCUCUCCCUUACCCCCUCCAACUUAAGAGUACAGAAUCAGUCACCCUCAUGACCCCCCUGAAGCUCUUUCUGCCCAUGGGUCCUGCCCCCAUGCUGUAAUAAAACCACCUUUUUGCACCAC